AUGUCAUGGCCACUUGUCUCUCUAUAUAAAGGGAGUGAUGGGUGGGCUGCUUUGGAUACAUGGACCUGGGGUGAAGGAGGGGGACAGCAGACAGAGGCUGCUGUUGCAACAAGACCCCUGGGGCUGGCCAGAAUUGGGAAAUGUAAGAAGAUGGUGCAGGCUUGUAGAUGUAAGUGUUCAUCGUGCCAUCUGAAGGAUUUACUACAGAGAAAAAAAGCAAGGAAAUUAUGCCAGAAAAAGAACAGGAAGACAAGAGACUGUCUCCAACUCUUUGACAGCCUCCCUGCUCCUUGCAAAACUGCAGCGCUCUCCCACUUGCCCACCAGUCCUGCAAACAAACAAACAAACAAACAAAUAAACAAAAA
rnacentral:lncRNA from 1 species